rnacentral:rRNA from 1 species
CCUACGGGAGGCUGCAGUGGGGGAUAUUGCACAAUGGGGGGAACCCUGAUGCAGCGACGCCGCGUGGGUGAAGAAGCGCCUCGGCGCGUAAAGCCCUGUCAGCAGGGAAGAAAAAGACGGUAACUGAAGAAGAAGCCCCGGCUAACUACGUGCCAGCAGCCGCGGUAAUACGUAGGGGGCAAGCGUUAUCCGGAUGUACUGGGUGGAAAGGGGGCGCAGGCGGCGAUGCAAGCAAGGAGUGAAAGCGCGGGGCCCAACCCGGGGACUGCUCUUGGAACUGCGUGGCUGGAGUGCAGGAGGGGCAGGCGGAAUUCCUGGUGUAGCGGUGAAAUGCGUAGAUAUCAGGAGGAACACCGGUGGCGAAGGCGGCCUGCUGGACUGCAACUGACGUUGAGGCUCGAAAGCGUGGGGAGCAAACAGGAUUAGAUACCCGAGUAGUC